CCUCACAUUGAUGCCUCCGCUCACGGCUCUCUGUCACGCUCUCAACGUGUUUUUGGUUCUAUUCACCCACAGAGCCUCUUAAAGGCCCUAAAACCCAGCUAAGAUCGAAAUCAGACUUUGGAUCGGACUCCUGUAGCUUCUUGGCCAUCCGAUUGUGCCUCAGAUCAGAAACUAGCUAUUGGAUCGCAUCCCAUCGCACU
rnacentral:lncRNA from 1 species